rnacentral:rRNA from 1 species
UACAGAGGUCUCGAGCGUUGUUCGGAUUCAUUGGGCGUAAAGGGCGCGUAGGCGGCGGGGUAAGUCUGGUGUGAAAUCUCGGAGCUCAACUCCGAAAUUGCACUGGAUACUGCUCUGCUAGAGGGCUGGAGAGGAGAUCGGAAUUCACGGUGUAGCAGUGAAAUGCGUAGAUAUCGUGAGGAAUACCGGUGGCGAAGGCGGCAUCCUGGACCGACAUUGACGCUGAGGAGCGAAAGCCAGGGGAGCAAACGGG